rnacentral:rRNA from 2 species
CCUCGGAUCAGGUAGGAAUACCCGCUGAACUUAAGCAUAUCAAUA